rnacentral:lncRNA from 10 species
CGGUCUCCACUUAAAAAAAAAAAAAAAGAAUGCAUUUCUAGGCUUGGUCAGAUUUCAAGACAUUGAGAUGUGCAUAAAAAUACUCUCUUCUCGGCUCAGUGCACCUUUUCCAAAGGUAGAGUUUUACACAGCAUCAAGACCAAGAUGCCUCCAGGACUCUGGCGUCUUUUCUUCCAUAAUACAGUCUGAGGUACCUUGAGGCAAGGAAUUCCACAGGGAAGCGAAAACUGGAUUUACUUCCUUGUUUCUGGGUUUUCUCUCCACAGUUGCCUAAGAGUGUUAAACUGUUGUAAAUGUCUUCUAGCACUUAUAAAUAAAGCUACUCUUUGGAUUUCCUCCAUCUGACAAGCUCCAGAAUAGAGCUGUGGGCAAGGACACCACUAUUGCUCUCCAGCUAACCCAUGUCCAUACCUUUGACAUUAGACUCAUACCUGUAUUUUUAGUUUUGAGCGAUUUUCUCCACUUGGAGGCAAAGGGGAGAUAUAGCACAAGGAAAAGGAAGUCAGAUUCCAGGCCUGAGUAAGAUUUGACACACCGCUGCUGGCUUCAGAAUACAGAGGCCCAUGUGCAAAGACCAGAAUGAUGUCUCUGGGAGAAAAGACAGGCCCUAGGCUUACAACAAGCAAGGAGAUGGAGACCUCAGUACUACAACAGCAGGGAACAGGAUUCUACCUACCAAUGAAUGAGCUUGGAAAUGGAGUCUUCCCAGAGCUUCCCAAUAAGAGCUCAGCCACACCUUGAUUUCCAAGAAACCCAGAGCAGAGAAACCAGCUGAGCCAACAUAGGCUUCUGACCUACAAAACUGAGGCAUGAUGUCUGAAGGCACAGCACCAAUCUUCUGAUCAUGAACUAUUAAGCAUGAGGAUAAAGGGCUAACAAGGUAAGGGGAUAAAGCAGAAAGGUGAAGGCUGGUUCACCGACAGCAUCAUUAGCAGCUGAAUCAAAUGUUAGCAACUCGUGUCUCAGUUUACCAUUAGACACGUGUGAAAAAUAAGCCCUUAUUGUUCUAAAACUCAAGCAAAUGCAGUUGCCUCCAUCCAUACCUCAACUGCCUGGCACAGAAUUUCAGAGUACUGGUGCUGUUUUCUGUGAGAUGCAGAGAUGAAGAAGGGAAAACAGGGGAGGUAGGAGGAGAAAGAAGUAUUUGAGAAAACUUGUUUACAUGUGUUUUCCACAGGUAGAUGCCUUCACAUCUCUAAUUUUGUCAAGUCCCAUAAAGCUCUAUGCUGAAGCUGAGACAUCAUCACUUAUGACACAGAUUUCAGCCCAAAGCAUGCACUUCAAGGAGGACACAAUAAGAUUAACAAGUUAUAUGCAAUCAUAUGGGGUACAGGAUCCCCCAAAUGAUUCUUCUUACAUUUUGCUCCAAAUAGCUUUUAAUUAACAAUUAUUUUACUGUCUUAGUUCUCAUUUAGGUAAAACAUCAGAGCACAAAAGUAUCAUUAGUUAUUAUUGUAAAUUAAUUAUU